rnacentral:rRNA from 1 species
GACGAACGCUGGCGGCGUGCCUAAUACAUGCAAGUUGAGCGCUGAAGGUUGGUACUUGUACCAACUGGAUGAGCAGCGAACGGGUGAGUAACGCGUGGGGAAUCUGCCUUUGAGCGGGGGACAACAUUUGGAAACGAAUGCUAAUACCGCAUAAAAACUUUAAACACAAGUUUUAAGUUUGAAAGAUGCAAUUGCAUCACUCAAAGAUGAUCCCGCGUUGUAUUAGCUAGUUGGUGAGGUAAAGGCUCACCAAGGCGAUGAUACAUAGCCGACCUGAGAGGGUGAUCGGGCACAUUGGGACUGAGACACGGCCCAAACUCCUACGGGAGGCAGCAGUAGGGAAUCUUCGGCAAUGGACGAAAGUCUGACCGAGGAACGCCGCGUGAGUGAAGAAGGUUUUCGGAUCGUAAAACUCUGUUGGUAGAGAAGAACGUUGGUGAGAGUGGAAAGCUCAUCAAGUGACGGUAACUACCCAGAAAGGGACGGCUAACUACGUG